CUUCUAUCAAGAUAUGUUUCUGAAAGUGGAGCACUUGUUCCUCCCCAUAUUUUGAUUCAGAAGUUGCAUAUAUGUCGUUUCAUUCAGUGCCUGCCUCCAAGCAUUAGGGUUAAUUUCAUGACACAUAUCAGGAAUCUUACUAUUUGCAGCUGCAUCAGGUGAGCAUUGAACUAUGUUUUUAGGACCUCAAUUUAGUUUAGGAGGAUCUAGUGUCUAGGUUUCGAUUGCGACUUCUAUUCUAGUUACAGGCAAGUUACGUAAGAUGCUGCUGCUCUGUUGAGUAUGGAUUGAGGAAAUAUUGGAGCUGGGAUGUCCACCAAGAGAUUUUUGGCCCAUAUAAAGGCAGGACAGUUAUGAAAAGUCAAGGAUUCUAGUUCUUUAAUGAUCCUUUGUCUGAUGGAGUGCAGGCAUGCAGGGGAAGGUGUAACCUUUUUAGGUGCUGAAAUGCUUCAGUAUGUCCAGAGGCUAUAGUUUCUACUAUUUGUCGCACUGAUAUGAAUGUGAAGGGACUUGCAGACUAAAUCACUUGGUAACCACUCGGUUAGUGUAUCUCGUCUAAACCUUCCACACUGGUCAAGGAGUUCUUAAACCAAGUGAUGGUCUAUUGUGGCUGGUAUGGAUUUGGAAAACCAUCAUUUGUCUCUGCAGUUACUUUGGGUGCUGCUGGAAUUAAAAAGCUACCUGUAAGCGAAGAAAUAGAUGUGACCCAGUUGCAUGUAUUGCAGGGGGUCCAUGAAGGGACUUUCGGACUCUGAUGAACCAUGUUACUAUUACAGUCAAAGGAUUGUUGAGACAUCUUCACUGAGUUUUGAAUGUGAAGUAUUUGACUCUGACCCUCAAAUUAUAUGCCAAACAUCAUGACAGCAAAAGGCAUUAUUUUCUAGUUAAACCACCCUCUACAGGUAAGCUGCCAUCAUUUGGUCCUAUGAUGGAAGCUUGCUUGCUUGAGGCAUAUGAUAUGUCGUAUUAUUGGACUUUAAAUGGUACUGAUUUUGCAUUUGGUUCCUUCUGCAGUUUUGCUAAAGGUGAUACUGCACAUGACUGAGCUUUGUAGGAGAUACAGAUCUGUUAAUUGCUAUUGCAUCCAUUUAAUAACUCAAAUCAUUGUUUGUUGAUUCAUUCUUAUUAGGUGGACGAUUUUUUGUGAUGUUUAUGGUAGAACUUUUCUUAGCUAUUUUUCCCAUUAUAUGAUAAA